ACCUUUGUGCAGUGGCAGUAUCACAGCCAAUAAGGUUUAUCUGAGGCAUAAUUAUUGGUAACUGAAUACUUUUCCCAGCCUCCGCCCUGAUGACUUGAAAUAUAGUCCGCAUUGGCAAUUUUUGACAGUCUCUAUGGAGA
ensembl:snRNA U4 U4 spliceosomal RNA